ensembl:lncRNA
GUGAAUGGCAGUGGGGGGUCGGGGAGCGUGAGGGAGAAAUACAGGUGAAACACGUGGACUAUGGAAUGUGAUAUUAUUGAUUUUCAAAGGGCAAAUAAAUUCAAGAGAAAUGGAGAAAAGGGAAAGCAUCAGAGCAUGGCAAUGGACUUUAGUUAGUUCCUGUCUGCUAAGUUGCCUCCUUACUUGUGGCGCCUAAAUUCCCUCCUGAGGAAUUAAGCCUCCCCGUUUUGGUCACCUUGGAGGCAGUGAGCAAUUGACACUGUGGCUGUCAAAGGUGCUGCAUCUUCCUCUAUGCUGGCCAUCUACACCUGGGCCCGAGGUACAACACCAUCCUGGUCUCCCUUCAAAGGCAUUGAAUCUAGAGCCUCUGAGGCAAGAGUGGAAGGAUAUUUAGAGGUCUCCCAAAUAGUUAACGGUCACAAAAAGACAAGAGAACCCCUCUUACUUGAAUUCUCAUGCUGUUUUCAAUAAGAAAUUCUACUUCUCCAAGUAUUCAUGGUAUGUUCCCCAUCCUUCACAUUCAAAUCUUACUGUCUGAAUUCUUGAUAUCCAAAAUCCCAGAACCAAAUAAAGUUAAUAAUAUUCCUUUC